rnacentral:rRNA from 1 species
GGCCUAACACAUGCAAGUCGAGCGGUAGAGAGAAGCUUGCUUCUCUUGAGAGCGGCGGACGGGUGAGUAAUGCCUAGGAAUCCGCCUGGUAGUGGGGGAUAACGUUCGGAAACGGACGCUAAUACCGCAUACGUCCUACGGGAGAAAGCAGGGGACCUUCGGGCCUUGCGCUAUCAGAUGAGCCUAGGUCGGAUUAGCUAGUUGGUGAGGUAAUGGCUCACCAAGGCGACGAUCCGUAACUGGUCUGAGAGGAUGAUCAGUCACACUGGAACUGAGACACGGUCCAGACUCCUACGGGAGGCAGCAGUGGGGAAUAUUGGACAAUGGGCGAAAGCCUGAUCCAGCCAUGCCGCGUGUGUGAAGAAGGUCUUCGGAUUGUAAAGCACUUUAAGUUGGGAGGAAGGGUUGUAGAUUAAUACUCUGCAAUUUUGACGUUACCGACAGAAUAAGCACCGGCUAACUCUGUGCCAGCAGCCGCGGUAAUACAGAGGGUGCAAGCGUUAAUCGGAAUUACUGGGCGUAAAGCGCGCGUAGGUGGUUUGUUAAGUUGGAUGUGAAAUCCCCGGGCUCAACCUGGGAACUGCAUUCAAAACUGACUGACUAGAGUAUGGUAGAGGGUGGUGGAAUUUCCUGUGUAGCGGUGAAAUGCGUAGAUAUAGGAAGGAACACCAGUGGCGAAGGCGACCACCUGGACUAAUACUGACACUGAGGUGCGAAAGCGUGGGGGGCAAACAGGAUUAGAUACCCUGGUAGUCC